AACGAACGCUGGCGGCAUGCCUAACACAUGCAAGUCGAACGAGACCUUCGGGUCUAGUGGCGCACGGGUGCGUAACGCGUGGGAACCUGCCCUUAGGUUCGGAAUAACUCCCCGAAAGGGGUGCUAAUACCGGAUAAUGUCUUCGGACCAAAGAUUUAUCGCCUUUGGAUGGGCCCGCGUUGGAUUAGCUAGUUGGUAGGGUAAAAGCCUACCAAGGCGACGAUCCAUAGCUGGUCUGAGAGGAUGAUCAGCCACACUGGGACUGAGACACGGCCCAGACUCCUACGGGAAGCAGCAGUGGGGAAUAUUGGACAAUGGGCGAAAACCUGAUCCAGCAAUGCCGCGUGAGUGAUGAAGGCCUUAGGGUUGUAAAGCUCUUUUACCCGGGAUGAUAAUGACAGUACCGGGAGAAUAAGCUCCGGCUAACUCCGUG
rnacentral:rRNA from 1 species